rnacentral:rRNA from 1 species
UACGUAGGGUGCGAGCGUUAAUCGGAAUUACUGGGCGUAAAGCGUGCGCAGGCGGUUCGUUAUGUCCGAUGUGAAAGCCCCGAGCUCAACUUGGGAAUGGCAUUGGAAACUGGCGGGCUGGAGUGUGGCAGAGGGGGGUGGGAAUUCCACGUGUAGCAGUGAAAUGCGUAGAGAUGUGGAGGAACACCGAUGGCGAAGGCAGCCCCCUGGGCCAACACUGACGCUCAGGCACGAAAGCGUGGGGAGCAAACAGG